GACGAACGCUGGCGGCGUGCCUAAUACAUGCAAGUCGAACGCUUCUUUCCUCCCGAGUGCUUGCACUCAAUUGGAAAGAGGAGUGGCGGACGGGUGAGUAACACGUGGGUAACCUACCCAUCAGAGGGGGAUAACACUUGGAAACAGGUGCUAAUACCGCAUAACAGUUUAUGCCGCAUGGCAUAAGAGUGAAAGGUGCUUUCGGGUGUCGCUGAUGGAUGGACCCGCGGUGCAUUAGCUAGUUGGUGAGGUAACGGCUCACCAAGGCCACGAUGCAUAGCCGACCUGAGAGGGUGAUCGGCCACACUGGGACUGAGACACGGCCCAGACUCCUACGGGAGGCAGCAGUAGGGAAUCUUCGGCAAUGGACGAAAGUCUGACCGAGCAACGCCGCGUGAGUGAAGAAGGUUUUCGGAUCGUAAAACUCUGUUGUUAGAGAAGAACAAGGACGUUAGUAACUGAACGUCCCCUGACGGUAUCUAACCAGAAAGCCACGGCUAACUACGUGCCAGCAGCCGCGGUAAUACGUAGGUGGCAAGCGUUGUCCGGAUUUAUUGGGCGUAAAGCGAGCGCAGGCGGUUUCUUAAGUCUGAUGUGAAAGCCCCCGGCUCAACCGGGGAGGGUCAUUGGAAACUGGGAGACUUGAGUGCAGAAGAGGAGAGUGGAAUUCCAUGUGUAGCGGUGAAAUGCGUAGAUAUAUGGAGGAACACCAGUGGCGAAGGCGGCUCUCUGGUCUGUAACUGACGCUGAGGCUCGAAAGCGUGGGGAGCAAACAG
rnacentral:rRNA from 1 species